AAUUUGAUUGAAAUUUCUUAACAUUAUGAGACAUCAAGAAACACAAAUACAGUGCUACUACAAGUCAGAAGAUAGCCUAAUCCUCUCACUGUCUAGGCAUUCAAUAUUCUCCAUAACCAGCUUAAGCUGAUAUGUGUAAAGGAAGGAUUCCAGAAGAUUCUUCUGGUGUGAAUCAGGAUCCUUAUUCUGGGAGAAUUAAUCCAUUAGCAUAGCCAACUUGAAUUCCCUCCUGGCACAGCCUAUGGGAGUUUGCACAUGGCACAGGAAACAAGGGAAAGGAUUCACUACACCAUGGGAAUGCCCUGAUGAAAGCAGACAUGCUCAGACUGUAAAUGAAGGAUGAAUCAAACAUCUUUCCACCUGCAUCUCAGGUACUUUGCUUUCUUAUUGAAGAAAGACAUACUGAAGGAGCUAAAGGGAUGCUGGAGUGGUCACCUAACAUUUUCACCUUCCAAUCUUACAAUCCAUUUACCUCUAUAAAGAUAAACCAAAUAUAAUGAACUAUACUGGUAGUAUAUACAUCUACCAACUGCGCACAAGUCAAAAUAUGAGAGGCAGAGUCAUAUUAGCAUGUUAGCAUAUUAGCUGGUUACUCUUUUUUAUUGACUUGACUGUCAGUAAAAAUGAAUUUGUCUGUCAGAGACAAUAUAGAUGCAAUAGAUGCACAAAAUCCAUUAUCAAACUAAACUAACAAACUCGAGUUAAAAGCAAGAAUUCCCUAGAAAAGUGCUAUAGUUGCUCCAAAAUAAAACAAAAUGCAUGAUAUAUUUAAUUGAAGUUUCUUCCUUGCAGGAAAAGGAGAAAUUCCUAAAACAUAAAAUCUUUCCAACAAAGUCAACUGCAACUCCAAGGGCACAGUAAGGCCAUGCAAUACGAUGUUCACAUUAGAGACAACCAAAUUAACACUACAUCAUCAGCUAAUAUAUUUACAUGCCAUAUUAAAAUAAUAUAUAGAAGCAGUAGUUUCAGUCCUAAUAACUUCAUUAGUAGCACACUGUGAAUAGGCUUGCACUGCAAGUUGCAGAUAUGCUUUUAAAAUCCCCUCACAGGUCCUAUUUUCAGUAUCUUCCUCCCAUUAGCUGAGUGCCAUACCUGUGGAAUAUCAUUCUGAGCAGCUAUCUAAGAAAUGAAUGACAGGUCUUCUGACACAGUAUCAUUCAUGUUCAGGUCUACUGUGCUCUUUCUUUACUUGCCUUGAUAAUUAUUUUGCUCUUUCUCACAUAGCUAAGAGGUCAAAUUGUAGAUUUAGAGAACCUAAGGCUAUGAAAAUUAUCAUGACCAUUUAUGCUGACCUCUUGAAUAAUGCAGACAACACAAUUAUAUAAUUCCAAAUUAAAUCUAUAAAAUCCUACUAAAGGAAAAGUUUAUUGUACUGAAUGACUUCCAGUUCCUAUUUAAAGGACUUCAAACUCUAAAGAGCUUAUCAUAUUCCUAAACCAUUUGUUCCACUGGUUAAGUACCCUGAGUAUAAAAUUCUUAUCUAAAUCUGCCGAACUUCACCUAACAUGCAUCAAACUGCUCAGCUUUCUACCAGAUGAAUGAUGCUACCCCCAGAAACCUCCUCUAUCUCUAUAUUGUUGUAAGUUUUACUUAACUCUCUUCAUAAACUUUUUUAGACAAAUUAGCAUUCUAAUUUAUCUCAGUCAUGGUGGUAAUAUUAAUCCAAUUUAGUAAAUAUUUUGGAGAAACAAUAAACCUAAGCUUAUGGAAGAAUGCAUGGGCAAACAUACAUAUCGAACACAGAGGCAGAAAGACUGAAUAAGAAUGACCAUAAAGCUGGAAAAACGAUCUUACAUUAGCUAUCUAGUCUAGUUUCAAAAUAAAUCAUUAGACUGAGCAAUUUCAUCAUCAUAUUCUUGCAAAAUAUUCAGCUGUUUGAAGCAAAAUUGUAUUUUGAUCAUUUAGGUCAUUUAUACAGACUUUAAAUAUUCUUACUCACAAACAAACUGAAAACAAAAGAAAAAAAUAAUUUUAAAAGUCAUUCAAAAUUUUGGCAUUUACCAUGAUUUAAUAUUCUUAUUUGUUCCUAAUCUUUCAACAUUAUUUCAUCACUCCUUUCUUACUAAUUGUCAUAAUAAGCAUGACUAUGUAAGUUAAUAUGUGCUGAAAAAAAACUCAGCUAAACAGAAUGAAAAUAUUUAAAAUGUAGCUCCAAGGAACAGCUGAGGAAAAGGGAAAGGUUUCAUACUUUUAUUAAAAGUUUAGACUGAACUACAGGUUAAAGGUUCUGUAACACACUAACAACAUGGUUUCCGUUACAGUAUAGCUUUUGGAUGGUUACCAAGACAAAUUUUAGCUCCUUGUACAACUCUAACCAUGUUUGCUAUACAAACUUCUUUGCCUUAUUCAACUCCUUCCAUAAACUCAAGACUGUCACCAAGACUGGAAGAAGUCAAAUUAUUUUUCUAACUCACAGUGAAAAUACAAUAUUUAUCAUUUUUUACAGCUCCAUUCUUUUCCCCGCGUGAGCAGGAUUUUGUCUCCUUUGCAAAGCACCAACAUAGUUUCAAAUAUAUAAUGAUUAAUUUUUAUAUCAAUAUUUUAAAACUCGAGGUCCUAUACCAUGCUGGCUUUUAUAAACUUCCUACAAGUGAGCUAAAACAGUAUUGUGCUUGACCAAACCAGAUUUCACAUGAAAGUAAUAACUACACAGAGUUAAGCUUAAAGACUAAAUGACUGAAAAAAUGCUGAAACCUUAUAAGGACCAACAGGGGGAAAACAUAUACUCCAAAAUGUAUGGAACCAUAAAAUAAUUUUCUGGAACAAACUAAAAAUACUAUCAGGAUAAAAAUAUAAAAGCAAAAUGACAUAGCCAAUUAUAACCAAUGUAAAAAUGAGACACUCAGUUCAGACAGAGGAGUUUUUCUGAAGUGUUACAUUAGUCACAAUAAAGUAGGCAAUUUGAGAGAAGUCUGAAUUAACAAAAAGCUGGAAUUUUAACAAGAAAAUUCACAUGUUGAUCAGAACUUCAUAUUCCUAGAAACUCUGAACCAAUGUAAGUCUUAAACUUUUUUUCCAAAGGAGGACAGAUAAUGACGUAGUUCAGAAUUAUAACAGCUGUUCCAUAAGAAAGAAGAAUCACUAAUUAAAAACAUAAGAAAGACAGGACCUCAAAUGCUGCUUCUCAUCUGGCUUCCCCUCAAGGCACUUCAUUUUUAUUGCCCCCCCUUUGGACACUCUCUCUAAUAGCUUAAUGUCUUUUUUAAUAUUGUGGUGCCCAAAACUGCCCCCAGCACUCAAGGUGAGACUACUCCAGUGCAGAGCAGAGUGGGACAAUCCCCUCCCUUGCCCAGCUGGCCAUGCUGCGCCUGCUGCACCCCAGGACACGCUUGGCCCUCCUGGCUGCCAGGGCACUGCUGACUCAUGUUCAACUUGCCAACAACCAGGACCACCAGAUUCUCUUUCCACAGCACUUCUCUCCAGCAUCUCAAUUCCCAGUCUGCACAUCCAUCCAGGGUUGCCCCAUCCCAGGUGAAGAAUCCAGCACUUUCCUUUGUUGAACUUCAUACAGUUGGUGAUUGCCCAGCCCUCUGAUUUGUCAAGGCCUCUCUGCAAGGCCUCCCUGGCUUCGGGGGAGUCAGCAGCUCCUUGCAGUUUUGUAUCACCUGUGAACUUGCUCAGCAUCUCUUCCAGUUCUGUGUCUGAAUCAUUUAUAAAGACUUGGAAGAGCACAGGGUUGAGGACGGAGCCUGCAGAACCCCACCAGUGACAGGUCAGUCUCAUGUAUUCCCAUUCACUGUAACCCUUUGUGUGCCUGACUUCAUGAGCCAGCUGCUCACCCAUCCCAUGAUGUGUUUAUCCAGCUGUGGGCUGGAAAUUUCAUCCAGAAGGAUUCUGUGACAGAUGGCAUUGAAAGGUUUACAUAAACACAAGAUUACAUCAAUUGGCUUCCAUUGAUCAGCUGUGUGGGUUACCUUGUCACAAAAGGAAAUCAGGUUUGAAAAGAAGGACCUUCCCCUCAUGAACCCAUGUUGGCUAUGACCAAUGACUGCAUUGCCUUUCAGGUGUUGUGCAAUACCUGCCAGAAAAAUCUUCUGCAUAACCUUACCAGACAUUGAAGUGAGUCUUCAGACUAAGAGGCCUGUAGUUUCCAGCAUCGUUCUUCUUGCCCUUUUUGAAAACAGGGACAAUGCUGACCAGAUUCCAGUCAACUGGGACCUCUCCAGAAUCCUAAGACCAUUCAAAAAUCAUCAGGAGAGGCCUCAUGAUGACAUCAGCCAUGUCUGUAGCUAAUGUCAGAUAAAUCCCAUAAUGCAUUAUAGAUUUAUAGGGAUCCAGCUAGAACAGGAGAUCCCUUACAAUUUCAGGGUCAGCUGGGAGUUUAUCCUUCUCACUCAUGGUCCUCCAGCUCAGGGUACUGGAAUCCUUUUAGUCCAUCACUAGUGUUGAAGACAGAGGAUAAUAAAGCACCUUGUCUAUAUCCCUGUUCCUGGGGUGACCAUCCUCAUCCUCUAAUGUGCCCAUGUAAUUUCUGCACUGAUGUGUGCCAUUAAUGUAUUUUAAAAACUGUUUUGACUGUUCCUUACAUGUCUGACCAGCUUCAACUCCAAUUGAGCUUCAGACACACAAAUUUUCUCCCUAGAGUGUCAAUCAAUAUCUCUGCAUUCUUCCCAUGUCACCUGACCUUGCAUCCACAGGGUAUAUGCCUUCCUUUUCUACCUUAACUCCAAAAGAUUCCUUCUUAGCCAAUCUGGACUUCUGCUUUGUCUGCUUGACUUCUGACAUUUUGGAAUUGCCUAUUCCUGUGCCCUUAAGAUGGACUUCAGCACCUGCAUAAACAUCUUCCAAGGGGACCUUACUAACUAUUUUCCUGAGCAGCCUGAACUCUGCUCUCCUCAUGUCCAAAGCUGAAGUUGUGUUGGCACUUUUCCUACCAUCAACAGAGAUUUUAAACGUGACUGCAUGGUCACUCUGGCCAAGAUGGCCACCUGUCAUGGCUUGACAUGGAAGUGAAUUUUCUCAGGAAGAAGAGGGUCAAACCAAUCAGUGGUCACAUUUGAGUAUUGGAACCUGGAGUGACCACUGAAGGCUGGACACGCCUCUGAGAACACAGAGGGGUUAAAAGCAAGAACUCCCAGGAGAACUUGCUCUUUGGAUCUGGUCAUCAGAGAGUGCAGACCUCCCCUGCCCAGGCACAGGCUGGGUGGGGGACAGGAGCCAUGUGGCCUGGGGAGGUAGGCCAGGGGGUGAAGGGUCUGGAACCGAGCUGGGCCAGCUCCUGUGGACGGAAGGGUGGAGAACAUCUGAGAUGUCUUUGUUCCCCGCCCCCACCCAGAGGGAAAGAGAUGGAGAGCCUGAAGGCACCUGGAAAUUUGCCAGCAAAGGAAAAGGAGAAGCAGGUGGAAGGUGCCCAGCCAUGGGAGUUGGAGUCCUGGGCCGAGAUUUCAGCCGUCUGGGGAGUCCGAGACUUUUAACCCUUUCCUGGGAAGUGAAAGUUUUAUGAAAUAUUACUCCUUUUCGAUUUGAAA